rnacentral:rRNA from 1 species
UAGUUAUGUUCUUGAAACUUAAAAAAUUUGGCGGUAUUUUAGUCUAUUCAGAGGAACCUGUUCUAUAAUCGAUAAUCCACGAUGGACCUUACUUAAAUUUGUAAUCAGUUUAUAUACCGUCGUUAUUAGAAUAUUUUAUAAGAAUGUUAAUUUUCAAAAUUUUUAAAAAGAAAAUAUAUCAGAUCAAGGUGUAGCUUAUAUUUAAGUAGAAAUGGGUUACAAUAAAUUUAUUUAAACGAAUAUAAAUUUGAAAUAUUUAUUGAAGGUGGAUUUGAUAGUAAAAUUAUAAAGAUUAAUAAUUUGAUUUUAGCUCUAAAAUAUGCACACAUCGCCCGUCACUCUUAUUAUUAAGGUAAGAUAAGUCGUAACAUAGUAGAUGUACUGGAAAGUGUACCUAGAAUGCAAUUUAAAGCUUAUUAAGUAAAGCAUUUCAUUUACAUUGAAAAGAUUUUUGUGCAAAUCAAUAUAAAUUGAUUAUAUUUUAUUUAUUAAAUUUAUUAUUUUAUUAUUUAAUUUAUUAAAAGUAAUUAUAAAAUUAUUAGUUUUAGUAUUUAAUAAAGAAAAAAUAAUUUUAAUUAUAGUUAAAUAGUAUUGUGAAAGAAAAUUGAAAUAAUU